rnacentral:rRNA from 1 species
AUUGAACGCUGGCGGCAGGCUUAACACAUGCAAGUCGAGCGGGGACUUCGGUCCUAGCGGCGAACGGGUGAGGAAUGCUUGGGAAUCUGCCCAGUAGCGGGGGAUAACGUUUCGAAAGGAACGCUAAUACCGCAUACGCCCUACGGGGGAAAGGGGGGGAUCUUCGGACCUCUCACUAUUGGAUGAGCCCAAGUCGGAUUAGCUAGUUGGUGGGGUAAAGGCCUACCAAGGCGACGAUCCGUAGCUGGUCUGAGAGGAUGAUCAGCCACACUGGAACUGAGACACGGUCCAGACUCCUACGGGAGGCAGCAGUGGGGAAUAUUGGACAAUGGGCGAAAGCCUGAUCCAGCCAUGCCGCGUGUGUGAAGAAGGCCUUCGGGUUGUAAAGCACUUUAAGCGAGGAGGAAUGGCUGAGGGUUAAUAACCUUCAGCAGUGACGUUACUCGCAGAAUAAGCACCGGCUAACUCUGUGCCAGCAGCCGCCGUAAGAC